UUGAGCAAUCCGUUUAAACAUUCUAAGUGAAGGUAUAUCUGGUUUAUACUUUACCUUUUUGAAUAUUUUGAUUGGUUAAAAUUGGUUGUAUUUCCAACUAAGAUUGCACAAUUAAUUGAAUAUCUUCCAACUUUUUUCUCCAAACAAUUAGUUUGAGUUCCGUUUCAUAGAGUAAAAUUACACUACUGUACCAAAAAUACAGCUUCAUUUUGCAAUGUCCCAACCAAAAAAAAAUUAAAAGUACAUGCAUUUUUUUCCUACAUUUUUAGGGUGGUUAUUACAAUGAAUACUAAUAAUAAAUAGCUAGUGGCUCUUCUAGCUUUUAUAAUGUUCUCGGACGUACGACUUCUCAGGAUGUCUAAGAAACAAAGAAGAUGAGAAAGACAUGUCCCGGUUCAGUCCAAACUGGAAUCAUCCAAAUUAUUCUCUACCUCUAUUACAUGUGUGGCUUCCACGCUACUUCAUCUCUCCUACAAGUAUACAAGAAAAUUGGCUACCCCGAAUACUGUUUUUUUUAACUCGGAGUGUAUCUUCUUGACUAAUCCUCCAAGGAGACAGGAAGACGACUAAUCCGAUACCGGACUUUUUGAUGAGGCCUUAAGCAUGGUCCUAUUAUCGUCUGGCCAAGAAGAAGUUCAAAGAACAUCAACUGGGUUUCCUGGCUUGCCGCACUGAAAAAGCGACCACCCGAGCCCAUUGCUUCAGCUUCUGCUUCACUGUCUUCCGAUCGUCACCUUUUUAAUUUUAUCAAAUCGUGAUAUCAAAAAUUAAAUAACAGAAAAACACUUCUAAGCUUUGGAUGUUUUAUCCUGUGGAAAAAACCUACCAAAAGCAUGAUCAUGCCUGGAACUAGUUGAGCCUUAAGGUGACUACCACAGAAAAAUAGAUCCCACAAUUUGAAUUCACAUACCUUUGUCGAGAACCGUUGUGGUGCUAGAGCUAAUGCUGUCAGUUUCCGAUGCGAACGACGAAGUUCGGGACAAAUGGUUACAAUAUUGUCUAUGAACAGCACAGUACAAAUCUAGAGCCGGGAUUGUAUCGGUGAGCCUUUGAUUCAAGUCAGGAGAAUCUGGCUCAAACCCAAACCCAAGCUCGAUGCAACCUCUAAGCUCCUCGACAUCGUCGUUCGUGACGCUCUUGCUUCGAGGAAUGAGAUCCACUGAUCGUUUCUUUUUCUUCCGGAGCCAAGCCUCGUUGCGGUUCACAUCAUGCGGCCAUGAGUGCUGCUUGGUAAGAUCCCUCGGUGGCUGUGGUGCGUUGUGGCGUGACAUUGUAGUGGUGAGGUCUUUUAUUCUCUACGGACCACUUUUAAUAUGCAAGACAUCUUUAUCUACCCAAAAAGAGACCGUUUAUUUUGAAUAUAAUGCCUCUAAUUGUUUUUACUAAAAUUUGGGGGUUGUUUUUGUAUUCAUAAAGACAAGAUUUUGAGGUACAUCAUAUUAUUAAAUGUA